rnacentral:rRNA from 1 species
UAAGAGGUCCCGCCUGCCCUGUGACAUUAGUUUAACGGCCGCGGUAUUUUGACCGUGCGAAGGUAGCGCAAUCACUUGUCUUUUAAAUGUAGACCUGUAUGAAUGGCAAAACGAGGGCUUAACUGUCUCCUUUUUCAAGUCGAUGAAAUUGAUUUCCCCGUGCAGAAGCGGGGAUAUAACCAUAAGACGAGAAGACCCUAUGGAGCUUUAGACGUAAGACAACCCGUGUUAAAACCCCCAAAAGAAAGGACUAAACAUAAUGGACCUUGUACUAAUGUCUUUGGUUGGGGCGACCGCGGAGAAAUAAGUAACCUCCAUGUGGAAUGAUAACACAGUUAUUUAAUUUUAGAGCUGCAACUCUAGUCAGCAGAAUUUCUGACCAAAAAGAUCCGGCAGUGCCGAUCAACGAACCGAGUUACCCUAGGGAUAACAGCGCAAUCCCCUUUUAGAGCCCAUAUCGACAAGGGGGUUUACGACCUCGAUGUUGGAUCAGGACAUCCUAAUGGUGCAGCCGCUAUUAAGGGUUCGUUUGUUCAACG